GAUAUAUUUGUUUACCUAUCUGGUGCAAUUAGUGCUUCUGGUCUUGAUAAUUGAAGUGAUAUCGGGUUGAAAGCUAAGCGAUUGUGUAGAAAUGGUCAAGCGACCGUUGAAAAUUGAAGACUGAGAAGGCAUUUAGGAUUUUUAAUUAUUUAAUUCUUGUAUUAGAAUCUUUUUUCAUGUACUAUUGUAGAAUGUAUAUAUAAACAUAAUAUUAAUAUUUUA